GGGGAUGGCGGGCUUUGACGUUUACGACCACGGUAUCCUGCGCACCGAGGAACUCUGUCCCCCUCGUUAAUCACCGGAGAAACACAACAUGCCAAACAAUCUGUAGCAAUGCCAUCGUUUGCAUUCGCAGCGGCAUAACUCCCCUUCGGGGGACGUCUGUCUAUCUGACUCCUGAUACGAUAGGUAUGGCGUAAAUCCUUCAGGAUAGGAAAAGCAUGUGUCUGACGGCAAUUCCGAAACACUUCAGACUCGGAGGAUCGCAGGUUGUCUGGAUAACCUCAUUCUCUCAAACAAAAAAACCAGUCUGCGUGCGGAGACGGAUGCUGCGUUAUCGUGAGCGGACAUGGGUUCAACUCCCAUCAUCUCCACCC
rnacentral:tmRNA from 1 species